rnacentral:rRNA from 2 species
CCUGGCGGCCUUAGCGCGGUGGUCCCACCUGACCCCAUGCCGAACUCAGAAGUGAAACGCCGUAGCGCCGAUGGUAGUGUGGGGUCUCCCCAUGCGAGAGUAGGG